CUUGCAUGAGAAUAAGGAGGAAACUGGAGCUUCACCCAGCCAAGAGCUGGAUGAAGCCUCGUCUCCAUGACAGCGAAGGACACGCAGCCCUUCAGUAUUGUGGAUGAUUCAGGGCAUUUGUGUCCAAACUGGAUCCUCAUCAUGUUCUCCCUACAAGGCAGGCUCUGCAGGCCGUGGUGGAGGCUGAGUAGGAGUCAGCUAAGGAGAAGGCUAAAGUGGAAAAGGUGGCUGCUGUUAGCCUUACUUCUGACAUGUGGACAUCCAUCAGUAUGGAUGCCUACCUGGCUGUAAGGUGCCACUUUGUG